UUGGAGUAUAACUGGGUUAGUUUUUUUGGCUUUAAUUUCUUUCCGUGUACUGUGCUGUAGAUAAACUGUCUGCAUAAACUGUCUGCCGUAGAUAACAGGCUUAUUGUUGAUUCCACUUUUCGUACAAGCCAUCAAAGUCAGAAGGUUUAUGUAAUUUUUGCAUGUUGGUAAGAGGCUUGAAGUUGAGCCAUCUCAUUUCAAGCUGCUUAUGCUGAGAUGAUCCGAUUUUAAAUUUUUUAUUUUAUCUAUAAAUGACAUUAAUGCAGUUCAUAGCUUCAUAUGAUUAGAUUCUUUGAUGUAGAAAUCAUAGGGUUAAAGAUGCAUAAUGGAUAGUGUCUUCUGUAGUUAUUUGAUUUCAUUUCAUAUAAAGUAAAAUUACUUUAUUACAAA
rnacentral:misc_RNA from 1 species